UGGGGAAGAAACACGCGUGGAAGAGCGCGGGGAGCGCGCGUGGGUAGGCAGAUCUCUGCGGGAGCAUAUACAUAUAUAUACACGUUGCUGCGGGCGUGCACGUCGUGCGUGUGCCCGGGGAGCGUGUGCGAGUGUGACCGCGAGCCUAAGGACGCGGGUGGGUGUGUGGGCGGGCUGGCACGGGGCCGUAGGGCUCGCGCGGGUUGGCGCGCAAAAUCCGCGGGCGCGAGAGGGUCUCCGCGAGUGCGCAGCUGCCCGCGCGAGCCCGGGGCUCCACGACGCUCCAGCCUUCCGCGUGUGCCGGCGAGUGUGUGUGGCCGGUCCCCGAGAGCUGCAGCUCCCAGGGCUGCUGCGGGGAUUUUUUUUUUUCCUUCUUUUUUACUUUUUUUUUUUUUUGCUCGCUCGUUCCUUUUUUUUCCCUCCUCAUUCAGAGCCCCGGGUGUCUCCCGGCCCUCAUUGGCCGCCCCGGCUCGGCGGGGCGGAGCUGGGCCGCCUGCAAAAGGAGGAAAAGAAAAAAAAAAAAAAAAGAGAGAGAAAAAAAAAAAGGAGACCAAGAGAGGAGAGGGAGGGAAAAAAAAAGGAGAAAACUGUAAGUGCGUAAAAAAGUUCUCGCCGUGGUGACGGAUGCUCAAAAGUUCAGGAGUUUUUCCGAUGCUUCCCAAAGCAGCCUGCGACUGAAAAAGAGACUGAAAAAAAGCGAGAGGGAGAGCGAGAGGGAGACUUUGCACUGGGAGAUCGGGAAGGUGGAUUUUUUUCUUCUUCUGCUCGCUUAAAAAAAGCCAACAAAACACAUCCCUCUACUUUUGUCCCUCCUUUGCAGACAACUUGUUGCAGAUCCCCGUGGAACAAGGAACUGGGAGCGUGGGAGCCUCUUUGCAAAGGUUUUAUUUUCUUAAUACUCUUUCUGCGUUUGGAAGUUGCUUUCUCCGCUGCGAUUAUUUUUUUUUUCCCUGCCCCGUUUUCUUUUUAAAAACAUUUUUUCCUCUUUUUCACCCCCCUCCCUUUUUUUCCCUUUUUUGUGAUUUUUUUUUUUUCCUCCGCGUGGAGUGCGGGAGCUUGCCGGUGGGCUUUCCUGGGCGAAGAAGAGGAGACUUUCGGCGCUGCCGUCGUUAUUCUUCCUCCCUUUUUCCGCGCUCCGCCGGGGGGGUGGGGGGGUGGGGGUUGCCCGUCCGCCCGGUCCAGCUCGGUCCGCGGAGCGGCGGAGGGGUGGAGGGGGAAGGGACGCGCUGUUUGGUCCGGCGGGGAGGGUGGGGGAAAGCUGACGGGAGGACAUGCAGGCUCGCUACUCCGUGUCCAGUCCCAACUCCCUGGGAGUGGUGCCGUACCUCGGCGGAGAGCAGAGCUACUACCGCGCCGCCGCGGCGGCGGCCGGCGGGGGCUACACGGCCAUGCCGGCCCCGAUGAGCAUGUACUCCCACCCGGCCCACGAGCAGUACCCGGCCGGCAUGGCCCGCGCCUACGGGCCCUACACGCCGCCGCCGCAGCCCAAGGAUAUGGUGAAGCCGCCCUACAGCUACAUCGCCCUCAUCACCAUGGCCAUCCAGAACGCGCCCGAUAAGAAGAUCACCUUGAACGGGAUCUACCAGUUCAUCAUGGAGCGGUUCCCUUUCUACCGGGACAACAAGCAGGGCUGGCAGAACAGCAUCCGCCACAACCUCUCCCUCAACGAGUGCUUCGUCAAGGUGCCCCGCGACGACAAGAAGCCCGGCAAGGGCAGCUACUGGACCCUCGAUCCCGACUCCUACAACAUGUUCGAGAACGGCAGCUUCCUCCGCCGCCGCCGCCGCUUCAAGAAGAAGGACGCCGUCAAGGACAAGGAGGAGAAGGACCGCCUGCACCUCAAGGACCAUGCCCCGCCGCGACCGCAGCCGCCCGCCGCCGCCGAGCCCGAGGGCGGCCCUGCCGGGGGCAGCGCCGCGCCGCCGCCGCCCGUCCGCAUCCAGGACAUCAAGACGGAGAACGGCACGGCCUCGCCGCCGCAGGCCGUGUCCCCCCCCGGCGCCGCGCCGCCGCUCGGCGCCGUGCCCAAGAUCGAGAGCCCCGACAGCAGCAGCAGCCUGUCCAGCGGCGGCAGCCCCCGCAGCACCCUCCCCUCCAGCCGCUCCCUCAGCCUGGAGGCCCCCGAACCGCCGCCGCCUCCCCCGCCGCCGCCCCCGCCGCCGCCCCACCACCACGGCCCGGGCUUCAGCGUGGACAACAUCAUGACCUCGCUGCGAGGCUCGCCGCAGGCCGCCGCCGAGCUGGGCGCCGGCCUCCUGGCCCCCGCCGCCGCCGCCCCGCGCACCGGCAUCCCGCCCGCCCUCUCCCUCGGCGGCUACUCGCCGGGUCACAGCUCCGUUUACGGCUCGCCCUGCGGCCAGGCGGCCGCCGGCGCCGCCGCCGGCACCUACCACUGCAACAUGCAGGCCAUGAGCCUCUACGCGGCGGCGGGCGGCGCCGACCGACCCGGCCACCUGCCCGCCGCCGCCGCCAGCCCCGCCGAGGACCCGCUGCCCGACUACGCCAUGCCCACCGGCGGCGGUGGCGGCGGCGGCGGGGCGGGGGGCGGCGGCGGCGGGGCGCUGGGGCACGGCGGGCUGGGCGGCGCGGCGGGCGGCCACCAGGAGGGGCACCACCCGCACCCGCACCAGGGCCGCCUGGCCUCCUGGUACCUCAACCAGGCGGCGGCGGCGGCAGCGGCGGCGGCGGCGGCGGCGGGGGAGCUGGGCCCGCUGGCGGGCGCGGCGGGCUACGCCGGGCCGCAGCAGGGCUUCGCCGCCGCCCCGCGGGAGGUCUUCGAGGCGCCGCGGCUGGGCCUCAGCGCCUCGCCGGGCGGCGGCGGCGGCGGCGGCGGGGGCGGCGGGGCGGGGGGCGGCGGCGGCGGCGGCGGGGCGGGGGGCGGCGGCAGCUGUCAGAUGGCCUUCCCCGGCAGCCAGCCGCUCUACCGCACCUCCGGGGCCUUCGUCUACGACUGCGGCAAGUUCUGAGCGCGCCCCGCCACGGGGAGACCGCGGGGAUACCGCGCAGCACCGCGCAGCACCGCGCCGCCGGCCCCCGCCGCGCACGCGGAGGGAAGCGAGCGCACGCGAAAAGCUUUUGUACAGAGACAGCCCCAAAGCAUGUCUUGGUUUGUUAAAGGACAGUGUUACUCCAAUAACACAACUGGGCCUGACCUGAACGCCAAAAGAGAUGCGGUCCGACCCUGCGCGGAGGUGGGCACGGGACGUGCGCCCAGGCAGCAGCUGAAAGGUGCCUCCGUAAGGCCUCUGCAUCUUUGGUGGCAGCCCGUACAGCGAGCGGGGACGCUCGGCCCCAGCCUGGCCUGCAGAGCGGUCCAUUAGGUGCCAGCUCCUGCGAGGAAGGAGAGAGGCAGAUGAGGGCCUUGGCGCAGAGGACGAACGGGCAGCACGUUGGGAGUGCCCCAGAGCACAAGCCCCCGCAGUCCCCUGCAGCAGGACAAGGAGGGGACGAGGCUUUGCUGUGCUCUUCCCACAGAGGACCUGGCCCUGGCCCCAGCUCUGUCACAGGAGUGGUGGGACACUCUCGAAACUGGCUUGUUCGAGUCACAGCCUGCGUCUCCCAGCUGGUGCCCCAGCGCAAGCGCCUGCUCUUUUCCAAAAUGUUGAUACCUGCUGAGCCCUUUCCAGAGUGGGUUGGCAGAGCCACCAGAGAUGCAUCGCGUUGCCACAGUGGCUGCUGUCUUCAAGACAAGAGCUGCAGCCCGGCGGGGGGCGGGGGGUGUCACAAAAAAUGGGAUUUCCUAGUGUGCUUGAGCCACCCCACGCAAAGGUCCCCCCCACCUCCCAUGGAUUGCUUUCAGAGGAUACAAACACCCGGCAGGCACAAAGCAUGCCAGAAAGGCUACUCACGUCAAAUGUGACUCUUGGCUUCCAGUUCAGCUUUUGUCUGGCUUUGGUACAGUCCCCUUGCAGAAAAUCCUGCGGAAAAGAAGAGCGAGGCGCUGCAAGAAGCGUUCACCUUCCCCGCCUCGAUGGCCUCCCCAUUGCUCACGCUCCCCUGCGAGCUGAGCGCAGCCGGAGCCACUGCCGGACUCUUCCGAGGACAAAAUACUUCUCUUUAGGAUGCAAUUUUAGUGGAAGCUCAUAUGCCUAUAAAUCACCAGGAGGCAGCAUCCUUUCACCAGGCUAUUUUAGACCGAGUUAUUCUUUGUUUUUGUGUGUGCAGGGGGUUUGAACUCCAAUCUUACGGUCGCAUAAUGGUGAACAUUUUAUAAGAAGUUAUCGUAUGUCUUAGUCAUGCUAUUGAAUGAGCUGUUUCAAAUUCUUCCCCCCCCCCUUUGUUUAAAUAAUGUAAAUCAUACAGCAAACACAACAACUAGUCUUUUUCAAAUGAAAACGUGAUCACAGACAGAUGAUGCUGAAAGACUGUUAUGAAUAUGGGUAACCACAUGCAACAGUAGUAAACAUCCAGCUUUUGAAUGCCUACAUCUUUUUUUUCUAGAGUAUUUGGAGCAUCCACAUGGAAAGAAAUAUCUAAAUAUCUCAUAAAUGAAAAGAAAUUAUCUUGAAACCAUUACAGAAACCAAGAUUUUGGUCAUACUUGCUUUACUGUUCAAGUGUUCUUAAAAAUGCUACCACACCAAAACAAUCCCACAACCAGUCAUCAAAAAUAACAAAAUUAAACAAAGAAAAAAGCUACUUUGACUGCAUUUCACUGAGUGAAAAAACCUGACUUGAAUCUUCCUUUAAAAUUUGAGUACUGUUAUUUAAAUAGCUUUUUCCAAUUGUAUGUGUUGAUUUAAUAAAAUAUAUCAUCUCUCCUCACAAGCUUCUUUUCUCUGUAGCAGUAAAUACUGAAAUUAUAUCUGUCCAGGUUUAAAGAAAACAAACCCAACUCAACUUUGUUACAGAACAACAAAACUAAGGCUGAAUUCUGCUCUUGCAUUUGACUUUAUGGUGGUAACACAGCAGGCUUUCCAGAAAAACGCGCGGACUGCGUUUCUUCUCCCUGUUCCACUCUCUGGCCAGCAGUGGAGCUAACGAGCAUUUUCUGGCUGUAGGUUUGGUUGUGGUUUGGGGGUUUUGGGGUUUUUUUUUUUUCUUAACUGUACUGCCACACACUACA